GUUACAUAGUGAGAAUCUAUCUUACACACACACACACACACACACACACACACACACACACACACACACACACACAACAUAGGGCUUAGAACUAAUACGUUUCAGAUUUCAGGGUUCUUUGGGGAUAUUUGCUUAGAUUUAUUCAGCAGCUGAACACACCUAUUCUGAAAAUCUGAUAUCUAUAUAAUUUAAUUUUAUUUGAGACAGGAUCUCAAAAGCUCAGGGUGCCCUUGAGCUCACAAUUCUGCCUCACCCUCCCAGUGCUAAAAUUAUAGGCUUACAUUAUCCUGCUUGCUUGGCAAAGUGGAACUUUCUGAGCAUUAGUUUCAGAUUAAGAGUGUUCAGUAUCUAUUCGAAUGAAACAAUUACUAAGUAGAUGGUAACUGUUUCACUAAAGAUGGUAGUUAUGAUAACAAUUGGGAAGUUCAGCAAGUGGCCCCCAUCCCUCCAGCACACAUCAAAAACACACAUAGAAAAUAUAAACAUAUACAAUAAACAUAAAAUAAUAACUUUUUUUAAAAAAAUCAAGAAAGUCAAUGAUUAGCAUCUUAUUUUCCUAAAUUUAUUGCCCCACCCUUCUUCUGUGGUGCUGAGGAUCAUUCAAUCCCACACAAGCUAAGCAGGUGCUCUACCACUGAGACACACUCAUGCCUCUUACUCUUUUUAUAGCUAGAUUUACAACAGAAUAGAAAGGAGACCUUCAGCUCCCCCCCCAUCUUUUUUUUUUUUUUUUUUUUUUGCAUUCCAUAAGUAAAUAUGGUCCCAACAGUAUCAUAUAAGCCAUAAGGUAUUUUAAGGUAUAGAUUCUAAAAUUUCUGUGUCUUUUCUCUAUCACUUAUACUCUAAAGUGCAAAGUAACAGGUUUCGGGUUUGGUUUUGUUUUUGUCACUGUUAAGAGAAGACUGGCCUUGGAUGAAUAACAAUCCGCCUACUUCCGCCUUCCAUGUGCUACAAUUAAAGGUGUACAUCACCAGACACAUGGCUUAGAUUUGACUUUUAUGAGUAGCUUUUCUGGAGCUGGAGAGAUGGCUCAGAAGUUAAGAGCACUUCCUGCUCUUGUAGACGACCUAGGUUCAAUUUCGAGGAUCCACAUGGCAGCUCACAAUCAUCUGUACCUCCAGUUCGAAGACCCAAUACUAUCUUUUGACCUUGUAUGCAUGUGGUACAUAUGUAUACAGGCAAAAUACUUAUAAAAUAAAAUGAAUGGCCUUAAUAAAUAAAAAAAAGUUAGAUUUUC
rnacentral:lncRNA from 1 species